CAAAAUACGUUCCAGAGAGAGGAACAGAUGUGAUCACCCUCCUUGGAAGUCCUACUGGAGAUCAAACUACCCACAAGGAAUUGGUUUAGCAAUGGACACGUGACCAAGUUCUGGCUGCAGAGCCUCCAAGAGAGAGGUUUGCUUAAGAUUUUCAAGAAGGACCUUCCUCCCUCUUUAGAGAGAAACUCCAGUUGUUGCUGGCAGCCACUUUAUAGCUAGGAGGAGAACCAGCCUCAAGAUGAAGAAGCCAGUGUGGAUUGCAGAGCAGAGGUCUGGAAACCCGGGCUCUUGCUGACGUCAUUGAGGGCAACCUGAAGUCUGCUUUAUCUCUG